AUUGAACGCUGGCGGCAGGCCUAACACAUGCAAGUCGAACGAGUGGCGGACGGGUGAGUAAUGUCUGGGAAUCUGCCCGAUGGAGGGGGAUAACUACUGGAAACGGUAGCUAAUACCGCAUACUCUCGGAUGCGCCCAAAUGGGAUUAGCUAGUAGGUGGGGUAACGGCUCACCUAGGCGACGAUCCCUAGCUGGUCUGAGAGGAUGACCAGCCACACUGGGACUGAGACACGGUCCAGACUCCUACGGGAGGCAGCAGUGGGGAAUAUUGCACAAUGGGCGCAAGCCUGAUGCAGCCAUGCCGAGUGUAUGAAGAAGGCCGUAGGGUUGUAAAGUACUUUCAGCGAGGAGGCGUUACUGGCAGAAGAAGCACCGGCUAACUCCGUGCCAGCAGCCGCGGUAAUAC
rnacentral:rRNA from 1 species